rnacentral:tRNA from 1 species
GCCGGCGUAGCUCAGCUGGAAGAGCAGGUGAUUUGUAAUCACCAGGUCGGGGGUUCAAAUCCCUCCGCCGGCU